CUUGUCCCCAAGGAUCGAAACUUGGAAACCGAGACAUGAGACUGGUAUGAGCUUCCCAAGUAUCGUGAUUUGAGUUCAAGUUCAUCCAUCGUACGAGUAAAUUCUGGCAGAAAGAUUGCAAUCUUAGGAGGAUUAGUUUCAUCCUGUGAUUGCUUCAUCAAAGCUGUUAAAUCUUCAAGUUGUUUUCGUAUGGCAGAAAGAUCAGGAUUUUCUGGCAUUGUUUGGUUUCUUUUUGGCAUACUCAAGCGUUGAUUGCUAGGAGUGAUGGCUCUGUAUACCAAUUUGUUAUGAACUGAGGAGAAUAGAGAAGGAAAAAUCGAAGGAAUAAAGGUUUUAGAAGAAGAAAAGCAUAGAGAUUUCAGAAAUCAGAAUUUCAUUCAUUCAUCAGAUUCCCUGCAGAUAAGAACUAAAUAUUUUCCUCCUUUGGGCUGUUGGCUGGAUUGCAGGCCGGUUCUUGCUGCAUAGGUAAUGGACUUCCCUUUUUAUAUCUAUUGUUUUAAUAAUCACUUGCUUCCCACGUGCACUCUCCUCUUUCAUCCAAUCCCUAAAUUUCCCAAUUGAUUUACUCUCAAUCCCUAACCCUUCCUUAGUAAUUCCCAAAUUACUUUCUUCGAGUCUAACUUCUUCUUCUCUGCCUUC